rnacentral:rRNA from 1 species
AUUGAACGCUGGCGGCAUGCCUUACACAUGCAAGUCGAACGGCAGCACGGGUGCUUGCACCUGGUGGCGAGUGGCGAACGGGAGAGUAAUACAUCGGAACGUACCUUAUCGUGGGGGAUAACGCAGCGAAAGCUGUGCUAAUACCGCAUACGCCCUGAGGGGGAAAGCGGGGGAUCGAAAGACCUCGCGCGAUUAGAGCGGCCGAUGCCUGAUUAGCUUGUUGGUGGGGUAAAAGCCCACCAAGGCGACGAUCAGUAGCUGGUCUGAGAGGACGAUCAGCCACACUGGGACUGAGACACGGCCCAGACUCCUACGGGAGGCAGCAGUGGGGAAUUUUGGACAAUGGGGGCAACCCUGAUCCAGCAAUGCCGCGUGAGUGAAGAAGGCCUUCGGGUUGUAAAGCUCUGUUGUCAGGGAAGAAACACCGGCUCUAACACAGUCCGGGAAUGACGGUACCUGAAGAAUAAGCACCGGCUAACUACGUGCCAGCCGCCGCGGUAA